GGUUAAGCGACUAAGCGUACACGGUGGAUGCCCUGGCAGUCAGAGGCGAUGAAGGGCGUGCUAAUCUGCGAUAAGCGCCGGUAAGGUGAUAUGAACCGUUAUAACCGGCGAUACCCGAAUGGGGAAACCCAGUGUGAUUCGUCACACUAUCAUUAACUGAAUCCAUAGGUUAAUGAGGCGAACCGGGGGAACUGAAACAUCUAAGUACCCCGAGGAAAAGAAAUCAACCGAGAUUCCCCCAGUAGCGGCGAGCGAACGGGGAGGAGCCCAGAGCCUGAAUCAGCAUGUGUGUUAGUGGAAGCGUCUGGAAAGGCGCGCGAUACAGGGUGACAGCCCCGUACACAAAAGCGCAUGUGCUGUGAGCUCGAUGAGUAGGGCGGGACACGUGGUAUCCUGUCUGAAUAUGGGGGGACCAUCCUCCAAGGCUAAAUACUCCUGACUGACCGAUAGUGAACCAGUACCGUGAGGGAAAGGCGAAAAGAACCCCGGCGAGGGGAGUGAAAAAGAACCUGAAACCGUGUACGUACAAGCAGUGGGAGCCCCACCACUAAGCCAGUGGUGAACUUCACAUACGCAUCCUUUGCUGAGGAUACGGUUAACGGAGCGAAAGCGACGUUCAACCUCAAAAGAAGCAGAGGGGGCUUAGUGGUGGGGUGACUGCGUACCUUUUGUAUAAUGGGUCAGCGACUUAUAUUCUGUAGCAAGGUUAACCG
rnacentral:rRNA from 1 species